rnacentral:rRNA from 1 species
UACGUAGGCAGCAAGCGUUGUUCGGAGUUACUGGGCGUAAAGAGUGCGUAGGCGGUGUCGAAAGUUUGGCGUGAAAUCUCCCGGCUUAACUGGGAGGGUGCGCCGAAAACUGCGGUGCUGGAGUGUGGGAAAGGCAAGCGGAAUUCCUGGUGUAGCGGUGAAAUGCGUAGAUAUCAGGAGGAACACCCAUGGCGAAGGCAGCUCUCUGGCCUAUAACUGACGCUGAGGUGCGAAAGCGUGGGGAGCAAACGGG